UUCGCAAUGCCCGAAAGGGUGACGAUGCGACGCCGCGUGCGGGAAGAAGGCCUUCGGGUUGUAAACCGCUGUCGGGAGUUAAGAAAUGCAAGGAUGUUAAUAGCGUUCUUGCUUGACUAAGGCUCCGGAGGAAGCCACGGCUAACUCUGUGCCAGCAGCCGCGGUAAUACAGAGGCGGCAAGCGUUGUUCGGAAUUAUUGGGCGUAAAGAGCACGUAGGCGGCCCUGCAAGUCAGUUGUGAAAGCCUUCCGCUCAACGGAAGAACGGCAGCUGAUACUACAGGGCUAGAGUACGGGAGGGGAGAGUGGAACUUCUGGUGGAGCGGUGAAAUGCGUAGAUAUCAGAAGGAACGCCGGCGGCGAAAGCGACUCUCUGGCCCGAAACUGACGCUGAGUGUGCGAAAGCUAGGGGAGCAAACGGGAUUAGAUACCCCGGUAGUCCUAGCCGUAAACGAUGGGCACUAAGUAGAGGGGUUUU
rnacentral:rRNA from 1 species